AUUGGUGCAAAUGGGCAUGGGCGCAGCCUGACCACCAUGCCGCGUGACUGCUGAAGCCCUCGGGUCGUAAACUCUCUGGGGAGGACGAAAAGCCGGGUGAAAUACCGCCCGCUCCUGACGGUACCUCCCAGCAGCACCGGCUAACUCCGUGCCAGCAGCCGCGGUACUACGGAGGGUGCAAACCCUGCUCGGACUCCCUGGGCGUAAAGCGCACGUAGGCGCUCCGCUAAGUCGGCUCUGAACUCCCUCGGCUCAACCGAGGAAGUGCCCUCGAAACUGGCGGGCUUUGAGUAGGGAAGAGGGUCUCGGAAUUCCCGGUCUAGAGGUGAACUUCGUAGCUCUCGGGAGGAACACCACUGGCGAAGGCGGAGACCUUGGGCCCAUCCUGACGCUUGAGGUGCGAAAGCGUGGGGAGCAAACAGGACUAGAUCCCUGUUAUUCCACGCCGUAAACAAUGGCUCUUGAUGUUGGGGGUCCUGACCCCCCAGCGUCGCACUUACGCAAUAAGCAU
rnacentral:rRNA from 1 species